rnacentral:rRNA from 1 species
UUAAGCGACUAAGCGUACACGGUGGAUGCCCUGGCAGUCAGAGGCGAUGAAGGACGUGCUAAUCUGCGAAAAGCGUCGGUAAGGUGAUAUGAACCGUUAUAGCCGGCGAUGUCCGAAUGGGGAAACCCAGUGCAAUUCGUUGCACUAUCGUUAACUGAAUACAUAGGUUAACGAGGCGAACCGGGGGAACUGAAACAUCUAAGUACCCCGAGGAAAAGAAAUCAACCGAGAUUCCCCCAGUAGCGGCGAGCGAACGGGGAGCAGCCCAGAGUCUGAAUCAGCUUGUGUGUUAGUGGAACGGUCUGGAAAGUCCGACGGUACAGGGUGAUAGUCCCGUACACCAAAAUGCACAGGCUGUGAACUCGAAGAGUAGGGCGGGACACGUGGUAUCCUGUCUGAAUAUGGGGGGACCAUCCUCCAAGGCUAAAUACUCCUGACUGACCGAUAGUGAACCAGUACCGUGAGGGAAAGGCGAAAAGAACCCCGGCGAGGGGAGUGAAAAAGAACCUGAAACCGUGUACGUACAAGCAGUGGGAGCACCUUCGGGUGUGACUGCGUACCUUUUGUAUAAUGGGUCAGCGACUUAUAUUCUGUAGCAAGGUUAACCGUAUAGGGGAGCCGCAGGGAAACCGAGUCUUAACUGGGCGUUAAGUUGCAGGGUAUAGACCCGAAACCCGGUGAUCUAGCCAUGGGCAGGUUGAAGGUUGGGUAACACUAACUGGAGGACCGAACCGACUAAUGUUGAAAAAUUAGCGGAUGACUUGUGGCUGGGGGUGAAAGGCCAAUCAAACCGGGAGAUAGCUGGUUCUCCCCGAAAGCUAUUUAGGUAGCGCCUCGUGAACUCAUCUUCGGGGGUAGAGCACUGUUUCGGCUAGGGGGUCAUCCCGACUUACCAACCCGAUGCAAACUACGAAUACCGAAGAAUGUUAUCACGGGAGACACACGGCGGGUGCUAACGUCCGUCGUGAAGAGGGAAACAACCCAGACCGCCAGCUAAGGUCCCAAAGUCAUGGUUAAGUGGGAAACGAUGUGGGAAGGCACAGACAGCCAGGAUGUUGGCUUAGAAGCAGCCAUCAUUUAAAGAAAGCGUAAUAGCUCACUGGUCGAGUCGGCCUGCGCGGAAGAUGUAACGGGGCUAAACCAUGCACCGAAGCUGCGGCAGCGACACUAUGUGUUGUUGGGUAGGGGAGCGUUCUGUAAGCCUGCGAAGGUGACCUGUGAGGGUUGCUGGAGGUAUCAGAAGUGCGAAUGCUGACAUAAGUAACGAUAAAGCGGGUGAAAAGCCCGCUCGCCGGAAGACCAAGGGUUCCUGUCCAACGUUAAUCGGGGCAGGGUGAGUCGACCCCUAAGGCGAGGCCGAAAGGCGUAGUCGAUGGGAAACAGGUUAAUAUUCCUGUACUUGGUGUUACUGCGAAGGGGGGACGGAGAAGGCUAUGUUAGCCGGGCGACGGUUGUCCCGGUUUAAGCAUGUAGGCUGAUUGUCCAGGCAAAUCCGGAUAAUCAAGGCUGAGGUGUGAUGACGAGGCACUACGGUGCUGAAGUAACAAAUGCCCUGCUUCCAGGAAAAGCCUCUAAGCAUCAGGUAACAUUAAAUCGUACCCCAAACCGACACAGGUGGUCAGGUAGAGAAUACCAAGGCGCUUGAGAGAACUCGGGUGAAGGAACUAGGCAAAAUGGUGCCGUAACUUCGGGAGAAGGCACGCUGGUGUGUAGGUGAAGUCCCUGCGGAUGGAGCUGAGACCAGUCGAAGAUACCAGCUGGCUGCAACUGUUUAUUAAAAACACAGCACUGUGCAAACACGAAAGUGGACGUAUACGGUGUGACGCCUGCCCGGUGCCGGAAGGUUAAUUGAUGGGGUUAUCCGUAAGGAGAAGCUCUUGAUCGAAGCCCCGGUAAACGGCGGCCGUAACUAUAACGGUCCUAAGGUAGCGAAAUUCCUUGUCGGGUAAGUUCCGACCUGCACGAAUGGCGUAAUGAUGGCCAGGCUGUCUCCACCCGAGACUCAGUGAAAUUGAACUCGCUGUGAAGAUGCAGUGUACCCGCGGCAAGACGGAAAGACCCCGUGAACCUUUACUAUAGCUUGACACUGAACAUUGAGCCUUGAUGUGUAGGAUAGGUGGGAGGCUUUGAAGCGUGGACGCCAGUCUGCGUGGAGCCAACCUUGAAAUACCACCCUUUAAUGUUUGAUGUUCUAACGUUGGCCCCUGACCGGGGUUGCGGACAGUGUCUGGUGGGUAGUUUGACUGGGGCGGUCUCCUCCCAAAGCGUAACGGAGGAGCACGAAGGUUAGCUAAUCCUGGUCGGACAUCAGGAGGUUAGUGCAAUGGCAUAAGCUAGCUUGACUGCGAGCGUGACGGCGCGAGCAGGUGCGAAAGCAGGUCAUAGUGAUCCGGUGGUUCUGAAUGGAAGGGCCAUCGCUCAACGGAUAAAAGGUACUCCGGGGAUAACAGGCUGAUACCGCCCAAGAGUUCAUAUCGACGGCGGUGUUUGGCACCUCGAUGUCGGCUCAUCACAUCCUGGGGCUGAAGUAGGUCCCAAGGGUAUGGCUGUUCGCCAUUUAAAGUGGUACGCGAGCUGGGUUUAGAACGUCGUGAGACAGUUCGGUCCCUAUCUGCCGUGGGCGCUGGAGAAUUGAGGGGGGCUGCUCCUAGUACGAGAGGACCGGAGUGGACGCAUCACUGGUGUUCGGGUUGUCAUGCCAAUGGCACUGCCCGGUAGCUAAAUGCGGAAGAGAUAAGUGCUGAAAGCAUCUAAGCACGAAACUUGCCCCGAGAUGAGUUCUCCCUGAGACUUUAAGUCUCCUGAAGGAACGUUAAAGACGAUGACGUUGAUAGGCCGGGUGUGUAAGCGCAGCGAUGCGUUGAGCUAACCGGUACUAAUGAACCGUGAGGCUUAACCUU